rnacentral:lncRNA from 1 species
AGAGGAAGAGGAGCUACCAUUUAUUGAACACGUAUUACAGUCUAGGCAUAGCAUUUUACAAAUCUUUUUGUCUAGUCCUCGUUUCCAUUAUUUUAUUGUCUCCAUUUUGCAGAUGAAGAAAGUGAGGUUCGGAAGUGUGGGACCACUUAGCUCAAGGUCAUGAAGAGCAAGUCAACCGGAGAAGCUCAGAUCCCACCUAGGAGUUUGAUUGAAAAUCAGUGCUUUUUGGAGGGCACAGAAUGUCAAAAGAAUGAAAUAGGCAUGUGUCGCCCUAAAGACAAAAAUCAGAAAGAAGCCACUUCGUGUGCAAAAGCAUGUCUCAGAAGACAGCUGAGGCAUAAUGUGUAG